rnacentral:rRNA from 1 species
UACGAAGGGGGCGAGCGUUGUUCGGAAUCACUGGGCGUAAAGAGUGCGUAGGCGGUUAUGAAAGUUAGGAGUGAAAGCCCAGGGCUUAACCUUGGAAUUGCUCUUAAUACUACAUAACUCGAAUUCGGGAGAGGAUAGCGGAAUUGUCAGUGUAGCAGUGAAAUGCGUAGAUAUUGACAGGAACACCAGUGGCGUAAGCGGCUAUCUGGACCGACAUUGACGCUGAGGCACGAAAGCGUGGGGAUCAAACAGG